UACCUGGUGUUUCUGUCUUGUCUUUGUUGGGUCAUUGCAUGCUGUCUCCUGUUGUUGCUGUGAGGUCUCCUGUUGUAUGUUGUCACCCUGUGUUGCAGUUUGUUCUCGUGUCUUCAGCCUUACUCGCCGUGUCUCCCUGUUACCCUGCUCAUUUUUGGAUUCUGGUUUUCACCCUUUUGGAUUUCUGUUGGACAGCCUUUGCUUUUGGACUCAGUCAAUCAGCCACUCUGUUAUUACAGCUCUCGCUUAUCUCUGGACAUUGUCUGAUAAAUUUUUGGAUGCCUGUACCUGACCAUGCGACUCCAAAGAUGACACACGAAUCAGUUGUAGCAACUGUCUGUAAAAUCAACAACUUUACAACUUGUUUUUGUGUCUUUUUCACUUUAUUUAUUUUCAUUGCAAAACCCAUAAAAACUACUGUAAAACAAUGAA